AACGUAGGUUCCGAGCGUUAUCCGGAUUUACUGGGCGUAAAGCGCGUUCAGGCGGUUCGGCAAGUCGGGCAUGAAAUCUCUCGGCUCAACCGGGAGAGGUUGUCCGAUACUGCUGGACUUGAGGGCAGUAGAGGGUGGUGGAAUUCCGGGUGUAGUGGUGAAAUGCGUAGAUAUCCGGAGGAACACCAGUGGCGAAAGCGGCCACCUGGACUGUACCUGACGCUGAGGAGCGAAAGCGUGGGGAGCGAACAGG
rnacentral:rRNA from 1 species